UACGUAGGGGGCAAGCGUUGUCCGGAAUCAUUGGGCGUAAAGAGCGCGUAGGCGGUCCGGUAAGUCCGCUCUGAAAGUCCGGGGCUCAACCCCGGGAGGCGGGCGGAUACUGUCGGGCUAGAGUCCGGAAGAGGCGAGUGGAAUUCCUGGUGUAGCGGUGAAAUGCGCAGAUAUCAGGAGGAACACCAGUGGCGAAGGCGACUCACUGGACACGUAUUGACGCUGAGGAGCGAAAGCGUGGGGAGCGAACAGG
rnacentral:rRNA from 1 species